rnacentral:rRNA from 1 species
CUACGGGACGCUGCAGGUAAGAAUAAUCUACAAUGCGCGAAAGCGUGAUAGUUUGAGUCAGAGUGCCUUGCUAUUUGCAAGGCUUUUGUGAAAUGUAAAAAGUUUCACGAAUAAGGACUGGGUAAGACGAGUGCCAGCGCCGCGGUAAUACUCGCGGUCCAAGUCGCAGCCAUUUUUAUUGGGUCUAAAACAUCCGUAGCUUGCUUGAUAAGUUUCUUGUGAAAUCUUAUAUCUCAAAUAUGAAGCGUGCAAGAAAUACUGUCAAGCUAGAGACUGGAAGACGUAACGAGUACGUUUGAAGUAGUGGUAAAAUAUGUUAAUCUCAAGCGGACUAUCAACAGCGAAGGCACGUUACGAGGACAGUUCUGACAGUAAGGGAUGAAGGCUAGGGGCGCAAAACGGAUUAGAUACCCGAGUAGUC